CCUACGGGAGGCAGCAGUGAGGAAUAUUGGUCAAUGGGCUUACGCCUGAACCAGCCAAGUCGCGUGAGGGAAGACUGCCCUAUGGGUUGUAAACCUCUUUUGUAAUGGAGCAACGCCGGCUACGUGUAGCCGGACUGAGAGUACCUGACGAAAAAGCAUCGGCAAACUCCGUGCCAGCAGCCGCCGUAAUACGGAGGAUGCGAGCGUUAUCGGGCUUUAUUGGGUUUAAGGGGUGCGUAGGCGGAAUGCAAAGUCAGCGGUAAAAUCGCGGGGCUCAACCGCGCUUCGCCGUUGAAACUGGCGUGCUUGAGUGGGCGAGAAGUAUGCGGAAUGCGUGGUGUAGCGGUGGAAUGCAAAGAUAUCACGAAGAACUCCGAUUGCGAAGGCAGCACACCGGCGCCCAACUGACGCUGAAGCACGAAAGCGUGGGUAUCGAACAGGAUUAGAUACCCGGGUAGUC
rnacentral:rRNA from 1 species